rnacentral:rRNA from 1 species
AUAACGACUCUCGGCAACGGAUAUCUCGGCUCUCGCAUCGAUGAAGAACGUAGCGAAAUGCGAUACUUGGUGUGAAUUGCAGAAUCCCGUGAACCAUCGAGUCUUUGAACGCAAGUUGCGCCCUAAGCCUUYUGGCCGAGGGCACGUCUGCCUGGG